UACGAAGGGGGCUAGCGUUGUUCGGAAUUACUGGGCGUAAAGCGCACGUAGGCGGAAUGUUAAGUCAGGGGUGAAAUCCCGGGGCUCAACCCCGGAACUGCCUUUGAUACUGGCAUUCUCGAGUCCGGAAGAGGUGAGUGGAAUUCCGAGUGUAGAGGUGAAAUUCGUAGAUAUUCGGAGGAACACCAGUGGCGAAGGCGGCUCACUGGUCCGGCACUGACGCUGAGGUGCGAAAGCGUGGGGAGCAAACAGG
rnacentral:rRNA from 1 species